AGUCAAGUAAUUAAGUGCAUGUGGUGGAUGCCUUGGCAGUCAGAGGCGAAGAAAGACGUGAUAGCCUGCGAAAAGCUCCGGGGAGGCGGCAAAUAUCCAUUGAUCCGGAGAUGUCUGAAUGGGGGAACCCACCUACUAUAAGGUAGGUAUCAAUAACUGAAUACAUAGGUUAUUGAAGCGAACGAGGGGAAGUGAAACAUCUCAGUACCCUUAGGAAAAGAAAUCAAUUGAGAUUCCCUUAGUAGCGGCGAGCGAACGGGGAUCAGCCCAUUAAGUGAUGUGUGUUUUAGCGGAACGCUCUGGGAAGUGCGACCGUAGAGGGUGAUAGUCCCGUACACGAAAGGGCACACAUCAUGAUGACGAGUAGGGCGAGGCACGUGAAACCUUGUCUGAAUAUGGGGGGACCAUCCUCCAAGGCUAAAUACUCCUGACUGACCGAUAGUGAACCAGUACCGUGAGGGAAAGGCGAAAAGAACCCCUGUGAGGGGAGUGAAAUAGAUCCUGAAACCGCAUGCAUACAAGCAGUGGGAGCCGACUUGUUCGGUGACUGCGUACCUUUUGUAUAAUGGGUCAGCGACUUAUAUUCAGUAGCAAGGUUAACCGCAUAGGGGAGCCGUAGAGAAAUCGAGUCUUAAUAGGGCGUUUAGUUGCUGGGUAUAGACCCGAAACCAGGCGAUCUAUCCAUGAGCAGGUUGAAGGUUGGGUAACACUAACUGGAGGACCGAACCCACUGUCGUUGAAAAGCCAGGGGAUGACUUGUGGAUAGGGGUGAAAGGCUAAUCAAGCCUGGUGAUAGCUGGUUCUCCCCGAAAGCUAUUUAGGUAGCGCCUCGGACGAAUACCAUAGGGGGUAGAGCACUGUUUCGGCUAGGGGGUCAUCCCGACUUACCAAACCGAUGCAAACUCCGAAUACCUAUGAGUACUAUCCGGGAGACAGACUGCGGGUGCUAACGUCCGUAGUCAAGAGGAAAACAAUCCAGACCGCCAGCUAAGGUCCCAAAGUCAUGGUUAAGUGGGAAACGAUGUGGGAAGGCAUAGACAGCCAGGAUGUUGGCUUAGAAGCAGCCAUCAUUUA
rnacentral:rRNA from 1 species